rnacentral:rRNA from 1 species
CAGUCGCCGCGGUAAUACGUAGGUGGCAAGCGUUGUCCGGAAUGAUUGGGCGUAAAGCGCGCGCAGGCGGCCUAUCCAGUCUGUCUUAAAAGUUCGGGGCUCAACCCCGUGAUGGGAUGGAAACUAGUAGGCUAGAGUAUCGGAGAGGAAAGCGGAAUUCCUAGUGUAGCGGUGAAAUGCGUAGAUAUUAGGAAGAACACCAGUGGCGAAGGCGGCUUUCUGGACGAAAACUGACGCUGAGGCGCGAAAGCCAGGGGAGCGAACGGGAUUAGAGACCCCAGUAGUCCCUGUCUCUUAUACC